rnacentral:rRNA from 1 species
GGAGGGUAAGCGGAAGAAAUUCCGUCUAAUACCGCGUAACAACCCAUGGAGGCAUCUCUGUGGGUUUAAAGGAAGCGAUUCCGGCUACGGAUGGUCAUGCGUCGCAUUAGCUUGUUGGCGGGGUAACGGCCCACCAAGGCGACGAUGCGUAGGGGUUCUGAGAGGAAGGUCCCCCACACUGGUACUGAGACACGGACCAGACUCCUACGGGAGGCAGCAG